GAUGAACGCUGGCGGCGUGCCUAAUACAUGCAAGUCGAGCGAACAGACGAGGAGCUUGCUCCUCUGACGUUAGCGGCGGACGGGUGAGUAACACGUGGAUAACCUACCUAUAAGACUGGGAUAACUUCGGGAAACCGGAGCUAAUACCGGAUAACAUGUUGAACCGCAUGGUUCAACAGUGAAAGACGGUCUUGCUGGCACUUAUAUAUGGAUCCGCGCCGCAUUAGCUAGUUGGUAAGGUAACGGCUUACCAAGGCAACGAUGCGUAGCCGACCUGAGAGGGUGAUCGGCCACACUGGAACUGAGACACGGUCCAGACUCCUACGGGAGGCAGCAGUAGGGAAUCUUCCGCAAUGGGCGAAAGCCUGACGGAGCAACGCCGCGUGAGUGAAGAAGGUCUUCGGAUCGUAAAACUCUGUUAUUAGGGAAGAACAAAUGUGUAAGUAACUAUGCACGUCUUGACGGUACCUAAUCAGAAAGCCACGGCUAACUACGUG
rnacentral:rRNA from 1 species